rnacentral:SRP_RNA from 1 species
GCCGGGCGCGGUGGCUCACGCCUGUAAUCCCAGCACUUUGGGAGGCUGAGGUGGGUGGAUCACCUGAGGUCGGGAGUUCAAGACCAGCCUGACCAACAUGGAGAAACCCCAUCUCUA